CCAAUAGCGUAUAUUAAAGUUGUUGCAGUUAAAAAGCUCGUAGUUGAAUUUCGGGAUUGACACAUCGGUCGUGCCUUAAGGGGUAUGAACUGGUGUAGUCAAUUUCUCACCUUCUGGAGAACCGCGAUGCCCUUAAUUGGGUGUCACGGGGAACCAGGACCUUUACUUUGAAAAAAUUAGAGUGUUUAAAGCAGGCAUUUUGCUUGAAUACAUUAGCAUGGAAUAAUAAAAUAGGACGGCAUGAUUCUAUUUUGUUGGUUUCUAGGAUCACCGUAAUGAUUAAUAGGGAUAGUUGGGGGCAUUAGUAUUCAAUUGUCAGAGGUGAAAUUCUUGGAUUUAUUGAAGACUAACUACUGCGAAAGCAUUUGCCAAGGAUGUUUUCAUUAAUCAAGAACGAAAGUUAGGGGAUCGAAGACGAUCAGAUACCGUCGUAGUCUUAACCAUAAACUAUGCCGACUAGGAAUCAGACGAUGUUAAUUUUUCAAUGACUCGUUUGGCACCUUACG
rnacentral:rRNA from 1 species